GAAAUGCGAUAAGUAAUGUGAAUUGCAGAAUUCAGUGAAUCAUCGAAUCUUUGAACGCACAUUGCGCCCGCCAGUAUUCUGGCGGGCAUGCCUGUUCGAGCGUCAUUUCAACCAUCAAGCCCCCGGCUUGUGUUGGGGACCUGCGGCUGCCCGCAGGCCCUGAAAAACAGUGGCGGGCUCGCUGACACACCGAGCGUAGUAGCAUACAUUCUCGCUCAGGGCGUGCUGCGGGUUCCGGCCGUUAAACGACCUUCAUAACCCAAGGUUGACCUCGGAUCAGGUAGGAAGACCCGCUGAACUUAAGC
rnacentral:misc_RNA from 1 species